rnacentral:rRNA from 1 species
CCUGACCCCAUGCCGAACUCAGACGUGAAACGCCGUAGCGCCGAUGGUAGUGUGGGGUCUCCCCAUGCGAGAGUAGGGAACUGCCAGGC